rnacentral:rRNA from 1 species
GACGAACGCUGGCGGCGUGCUUAACACAUGCAAGUCGAACGGAGAUAAUAGUAAUAUUAUCUUAGUGGCGGACGGGUGAGUAACGCGUGGGCAACUUGCCUCAAACUGGGGGAUAACACAGGGAAACUUGUGCUAAUACCGCAUAACAUCAUAAGAGGGCAUCCUCUAAUGAUCAAAAGGAGAAAAUCCGGGUAUGAGAUGGGGCCCCGCGUCCGAUUAGCUAGUUGGUGGUGUAAUGGACCACCAAGGCGACGAUCGGUAGCCGAACUGAGAGGUUGAUCGGCCACAUUGGGACUGAGACACGGCCCAGACACCUACGGGUGGCAG